AAGAGAAGAAUCUGGAUCAGGAGUAAAGAUGGAGAAGAGUCCAGAAGAAGAUCAGCAGAAUGUCCAACAGGAUUUACAGAAAAAGCUGUUAAAGGUUCGCGAAGAGUUUGUGAAGAGGAUUUCUGAGGUAAACCUGAUUCAGCUCCUCGGAAAGCUUGAAACAGAUGGUGUCUUUAAUGUUUUGGAGAAAUGUGAUAUACUGCAAACGAACAAAACCACAGCAGACAAGGCCCGAAACACCAUAGAUGCUGUGAGGAACAAAGGAGACAAAUCCUGCAGAAUGAUGAUCCAACGUCUUCAGCUCAUUGAUCCUGCACUGUCCGACCAGCUGGGUCUGGGUUUGUUCUCUUCUGCUCAGACAGAUCUUGUUGGUCGGUAUCAACAUGACCUUAAAGUGUUUCUGAAGAAGAAGUUUGAAUGUCUCCGUGAAGGCAUUCCUAAAGCUGGAAGGAAAACCUUUCUGAAUGAGAUCUACACAGAGCUCUUCAUCAUGGAGGGAGGAACUGGAGAGGUCAAUGAUGAACAUGAGGUCAGACAGAUUGAAACGUCAUCCAGGAAACCACACAGACCAGAAACAACAAUCAGACAAGAAGACAUCUUCAUACUCCCACCUGGAAGAACGGACCCAAUCAGAACCGUGAUGACAAUGGGCGUGGCUGGCAUUGGGAAAACAGUCUUAACACAGAAGUUCACUCUGGACUGGGCUGAAGACAAAACCAACCAGAACAUCCAGUUCAUAUUUCCAAUCACCUUCAGAGAGCUGAAUGUGCUGAAAGAGAAAAAGUUCAGCUUGGUGGAACUGAUUCAUCACCGCUUUACUAAAACCAAAGGAAUCAGCAACUUUGAACAGUUCCAGGUUCUGUUCAUUCUUGAUGGUCUGGAUGAGAGUCGACUUCCUCUGGACUUCCACAAAACGGAGACUCUGACUGAUGAUACUGAGUCCACCUCAGUGGAUGUUCUGCUGAUCAACCUCAUCAGGGGGGAACUGCUUCCCUCUGCUCUCCUCUGGAUAACCACACGACCUGCAGCAGCCAAUCAGAUCCCAGAUGAGAUCAUCGACAGGGUGACAGAGGUCAGAGGGUUCACUGACCCACAGAAGGAGGAGUACUUCAGGAAGAGAUUCAGUAAUGAGGAGAAGGCCAGCAGGAUCAUCUCCCACAUCAAGACAUCACGAAGCCUCCACAUCAUGUGCCACAUCCCAGUCUUCUGCUGGAUCACUGCUAAGGUUCUGGAGGAUGAGAUAAAGAUCAGAGAGGGAGGAGAGCUUCCAAAGACCCUGACUGAGAUGUACAUCCGCUUCCUGGUGGUUCAGAUCAAACUGAAAAACAUCAAGCUUGAUGGAGGACCUACGACAAAAUCACCCUGGACUCCACAGAACAGGGAGAAGGUCCAACAUCUGGGAAAACUGGCUUUUGAGCAGCUGCUGAAAGGAAACCUGAUCUUCUAUGAAUCAGACCUGAUGGAGUGUGGCAUCGAUAUCCAAGAGGCUCCACUGUAUUUAGGAGUGUUCACUGAGAUCUUUAAAGUGGAGAGAGGGAUGGAUGACUACUCAGUCUACUCCUUCGUUCAUCUGAGCAUCCAGGAGUUUCUGGCUGCAGUCUACAUGUUCCACUGUUUCACCAACAGGAACAAAGAGGUGAUGAAGAAAUUCAUGGGAGAAGAUGACAGUGAAACAUCUGGGUUUGCUUGGUUCAAAUCUCUCAAAAAUAAAAUAAAAACUUUGAACAAAGUUGACAGUUACUCAUCUCUGCAUCAGUUUCUAAAACAAGUCAUGGAGAAAUCUCUCAGCAGUAAAAAUGGUCACCUGGACCUGUUUGUCCGCUUCCUUCAUGGCCUCUCUGAGGAGUCCAACCAGAGACACUUAGAAGGCCUGCUGGGUCAGACAGAGACCAGUCCAGAAACCAUCCAGAGAAUCAUCAACAACCUGAAGGAGAUGAACACUGAUGCUAUCUCUCCAGACAGAAGCAUCAACAUCUUCCACUGUCUGAUAGAGAUGAAGGACCUCUCAAUUUUUCAGGAGAUCCAACAGUUCCUGAAAUCAGAGAACAGAUCAGAGAAGAAGCUCUCAGAGAUCCAGUGCUCAGCUCUGGCCUACAUGCUGCAGAUGUCAGAGGAGGUUCUGGAUGAGUUGGACCUGAAGAAGUACAACACAACAGAGGAGGGACGACUGAGACUGAUUCCAGCUGUGAGGAACUGCAGAAAGGCUCGACUUGUUGGCUGUACACUCUUAGAGACUGAUUGUGAAGUUGUGGCCUCAGCUCUGGAGUCCAACCCCCACCUGACUGAACUGGACAUCAGUGAGAUCUAUGGUGGGGAAACCUUUGGAGAUUCUGGACUGAAGCAUCUGUUGGUGAUACUGGAGAGUUCAUUCUGUAAAGUGAAGAUCCUGAGAUUGAUUUGCUGCAGUUUGUCAGAGAUCAGCUGUGCUUCUCUGGCCUCAGCUCUGAUGUCCAACCCGUCCCAUCUGACAUACCUGAACCUGACCUACAACGACCUGAAAGAUGCUGGAGUGAAGGAGCUCUGUAGUUUUCUACAGACUUCUCUCUGCAAACUACAGAUAUUGAUAUUGGAGCGCUGCAGGUUGUCAGAGAUCAGCUGUGCUUCUCUGGUCUCAGCUCUGAAGUCCAACCCGUCCCAUCUGACAGAACUGAACCUGAGCUACAAUGACCUGAAAGAUGCUGGAGUGAAGGAGCUCUGUAGUUUUCUACAGACUCCUCUCUGCAAACUACAGAUAUUGAAAUUGAUGAGCUGCAGGUUGUCAGAGAUCAGUUGUGCUUCUCUGGUCUCAGCUCUGAAGUCCAACCCGUCCCAUCUGACAGAACUGAACCUGAGCUACAAUGACCUGAAAGAUGCUGGAGUGAAGGAGCUCUGUAGUUUUCUACAGACUCCUCUCUGCAAACUACAGAUAUUGGGAUUGGAGGACUGCAGUUUGUCAGAGAUCAGCUGUGCUUCUCUGGGCUCAGCUCUGAAGUCCAACCCGUCCCAUCUGACACAACUGUUUGUGGGUCAGAACAACCUGAAAGACUCUGGAGUGAAGGAGCUCUGUAGUUUUCUACAGACUCCUCUCUGCAAACUACAGAUGUUGGGAUUGAUGAGCUGCAGUUUGUCAGAGACCAGCUGUUCUUCUCUGGCCUCAGCUCUGAAGUCCAACCCCUCCCAUCUGACAUACCUGAACCUGAGUCAGAACUACAACCUGAAAGAUUCUGGAGUGAAGGAGCUCUGUAGUUUUCUACAGACUCCUCUCUGCAAACUACAGAUAUUGGGGAGACGAGUCCUCCCAGGACGGAGGUCCGUCUCAGAGCAGAAACCCAGAGUUGAUGGCCGAGGCCACGAUGGACAUCAGGAAGCUGCAGCAGUUCCUCGUGGGGCAGCAGGUCAAACCCCAGCAAGGCCUUGUGCAAUAUUGUCCAUCAGAACGUGGUCCACCUCAUCCUGCUCCAUGAAGAUGUGUCUCUGCAGUAUUUCAUCCCUGCUGUGGCCUGAUUCCCUGUAGAUAACCUGGGUUCUGGUCCUGCUCAGUGAGAGCUUGAGUGAAAGAACAGGCUGGGAGCUGGUUUCUUUACCUGACAGGGGAGAACAUGAAGGUCCUCCAUGGAGACUUGAAGAAGACUGUACCUGCUGAACUCUGGUGCAUUAAGCAUUAGAUGUAUCAUUCAGCGUCUAUGAAGUCUCAUUCUAUGAUCCAAAACUACCUGAAACCACCUUCAUGUCAAUUCAGCAGGGUUAAUACAGAGAGACUUUGAACUGUUGGAAGAUACUGGAGCUUAUGGAGAAAACGUGACAGAAACAAGAAGAACAAAGCAAAGGAACCACUGCACCCCUUUCCCACAAUCUCUUAAUGUAAACUGGCUGCAGACAAACUCAAUACACUGAACAUGUGUCUAUAGGGCGAUCCUGUGGUCUAUUUCAGCAAACCCUACUUUUUCCUUUUUAUUUAUUUUACCUUUGGGAUAAAUAGAGUACUUUUGAACUGAAUUGAAUUAAACACAGGUCUCUUCUCAAGUUUAUAUACAGGUAGAGACUUGUUGAUACAAUGUCCUAUACUGACUCAUGUGUGAACCAUCCCUCUUUUUUGCUUACAGUACACGGGACAUAUUGUAAUAAUAAAAAAUGAUCUUGUUCAACA